rnacentral:rRNA from 1 species
CAGCCGCCACGGUAAUACAGAGGGUGCGAGCGUUAAUCGGAUUUACUGGGCGUAAAGCGUGCGUAGGCGGCUUCUUAAGUCGGAUGUGAAAUCCCUGAGCUUAACUUAGGAAUUGCAUUCGAUACUGGGAAGCUAGAGUAUGGGAGAGGAUGGUAGAAUUCCAGGUGUAGCGGUGAAAUGCGUAGAGAUCUGGAGGAAUACCGAUGGCGAAGGCAGCCAUCUGGACUAAUACUGACGCUGAGGUACGAAAGCAUGGGGAGCAAACAGGAUUAGAUACCCGAGUAGUCCCUGUCUCUUAUAC